UUCACCGCCCAGUAUUCGUCGACCCCCAAUCCCUUCUCGGCCUAAAUUCCUGGUGUGCUCAUAGAUUCAUGCGCCGGCUUGUUGUUUUCUGCUACGAAAUUCACGAUGCUAAAGGAGGUAAAACUGGUGCAUAAAUCGAGAAGGUUGCCUUACCAGCCCAUUGCACGCUCUAAUUUUUGCUUUGCUCUGGUGUCAAUUGGAUCUACCGAUAUGAAAAUUUCUGGGAUUUUUAAUAAUCAUAUCUUGAUCUCUGGUUUAUGAUUUUGGGAUUAGGGUUUGUGGCAAAUGACGAGUCUAUAUUAUCUUAUCCUACACUCAGAUGAACAGUGUUGACUACUUAUCUUCGCUUAUUAUCUGAUGCUGCACCCAUUUCCUCUUCUUAGUUGAAUAAUCGACUGAUUUUUCGGAUUUUAAAUCGGAUUUUGCAAAACGGGUUUUGAAAAUUUUGUUCCGUUCUUCUCCUGGAUAGAGGUUUUGUGAAUGGCAGGUGAUGAAAACCAUUCUUAUGCUACACUCAGAUGGUUCAGUGUUGACUACAAAACUUCGCUUAUUAUCUGAUGCCAUUUGCAUGCUUCCUGUUUUAUUUUUUCUAUUUUUUUUUUUGUAAAAAUCAAUUUAUUUUAUUGUUCGGACAAAUUCAAUGAUGAGAUGUUUAGCAGACGGGCGGACUGAACUGAUGCCGUGUUGAGUGUCUGCCAUUUCAUGCUCCAUGAGCGUCUCUGAGUUUUCCCGAUUUCGUCAUGUACAUGUAUGUGUGUGGCUGAUUCACAUCUAGAAUUUCGUUGUAUUUACCAAAUGGGCGGUGAUGAAGUUGCUAUAAUUAUGUCUGGACAUAUGAGACUUAAUAGUCACUGAUAUGUUUUGAUGCAAUCUUCUGAGCUUUAAUUUAUCAUCAAUUCGAGAUUUCAAUGGUAAUGAUUCCAGAAUCCCUUUGUUGAAUAACAUUAAAUUAAUAGAAUUUGUAAGUUAUCA